rnacentral:rRNA from 1 species
UACGUAGGGUGCGAGCGUUGUCCGGAAUUAUUGGGCGUAAAGAGCUUGUAGGCGGUUUGUCGCGUCUGCCGUGAAAGCCCAGGGCUUAACCCUGGGUCUGCGGUGGGUACGGGCAGACUAGAGUGUGGUAGGGGAGACUGGAAUUCCUGGUGUAGCGGUGAAAUGCGCAGAUAUCAGGAGGAACACCGGUGGCGAAGGCGGGUCUCUGGGCCGAUACUGACGCUGAGGAGCGAAAGCGUGGGGGAGCGAACAGG